GAUGAACGCUAGCGGGAGGCCUAAUACAUGCAAGCCGAACGGUAACAGGGUAGCAAUACCGCUGACGAGUGGCGCACGGGUGAGUAACACGUACACAACCUGCCGAAUACUGGAGCAUAGCCCUGGGAAACUGAGACUAACUCUCCAUAACGUUACGAAGUGGCAUCAUUUUGUAACUAAAACUCCGGUGGUAUUCGAUGGGUGUGCGUCUGAUUAGCUAGUUGGCGGGGUAACGGCCCACCAAGGCAACGAUCAGUAACUGGUCUGAGAGGAUGAUCAGUCACACGGGCACUGAGACACGGGCCCGACUCCUACGGGAGGCAGCAGUAGGGAAUAUUGGACAAUGGGCGCAAGCCUGAUCCAGCCAUCCCGCGUGAAGGAUUAAGGCCCUCUGGGUUGUAAACUUCUUUUCUCUGGGAAUAAAAAGUGGGAUUCAUCCUGCCUUGAAGGUACCAGAGGAAUAAGCACCGGCUAACUCCGUGCCAGCCGCCGCGGUAACAC
rnacentral:rRNA from 1 species